rnacentral:rRNA from 1 species
UUAUGGCUCAGGAUGAACGCUGGCGGCGUGCUUAACACAUGCAAGUCGAACGGAGUUAGAUGAAGCUGCAAUUCUAAACUUAGUGGCGGACGGGUGAGUAACGCGUGGGUAACCUGCCUUAUACCGGGGGAUAACACUUAGAAAUAGGUGCUAAUACCGCAUAAGCGCACGGAGCUGCAUGGCUCAGUGUGAAAAACUCCGGUGGUAUAAGAUGGACCCGCGUCUGAUUAGCUAGUUGGUGAGGUAACGGCCCACCAAGGCGACGAUCAGUAGCCGGCCUGAGAGGGUGAACGGCCACAUUGGGACUGAGACACGGCCCAAACUCCUACGGGAGGCAGCAGUGGGGAAUAUUGGACAAUGGGGGAAACCCUGAUCCCAGCGACGCCGCGUGAGUGAAGAAGUAUUUCGGUAUGUAAAGCUCUAUCAGCAGGGAAGAUAAUGACGGUACCUGACUAAGAAGCCCCGGCUAACUACGUGCCAGCCGCAGC